UACAGAGGUCUCAAGCGUUGUUCGGAAUUCAUUGGGCGUAAAGGGGUGUGUAGGUGGCGCCGUAAGUCGGGUGUGAAAUUUCGGAGCUUAACUCCGAAACUGCAUUCGAUACUGCGGUGCUUGAGGACUGGAGAGGAGACUGGAAUUCAUGGUGUAGCAGUGAAAUGCGUAGAGAUCAAUGAGGAAGACCAGUGGCGAAGGCGGGUCUCUGGACAGUUCUGACACUGAGACACGAAGGCCAGGGGAGCAAACGGG
rnacentral:rRNA from 1 species